GUGAGAAUUGCUUCCUGUCCCUCAGAUUCUAUGUUUCCUGUCCUCGGUCCACUUGGAAUCUCUUGAGAGAGCCGAGUCCUGUGUGUUCCUAGGCCCUGCCACAGGGACCUGGACGCCCUGCCUGUUGAGGCAAGGUUGUGGAUGUCCCGGGCCUUAUGGUCCCUGCUUCGCAUGAUGUGGGGCAGCAUCCAUCUGAACGCUCAUCACUACCAAGGCCAAGGUUUUGGAAGGAAGUCCUUCUUCUCCCAUCUUAGUAUUAGACCAUCGGAUUUGGGACACGGGACUAAAGCCGCUGACUCUGCAUCCCUUACAAGCAUACACAGCUGCCUGCCCUUUUGCCUUGUGGCCAUCCUGGAGUGGCCUUCUGCAAGAUUCUAUGUUACCUGUCCUCGGUCCACUUGGAAUCUCUUGAGAGAGCCGAGUCCUGUGUGUUCCUAGGCCCUGCCACAGGGACCUGGACGCCCUGCCUGUUGAGGCAAGGUUGUGGAUGUCCCGGGCCUUAUGGUCCCUGCUUCGCAUGAUGUGGGGCAGCAUCCAUCUGAACGCUCAUCACUACCAAGGCCAAGGUUUUGGAAGGAAGUCCUUCUUCUCCAACUUAGUAUUAGACCAUCGGAUUUGGGACACGGGACUAAGGCCGCUGACUCUGCAUCCCUUACAAGCAUACAAAGCUGCCUGCCCUUUUGCCUUGUGUCCGUCCUGGAGCGGCCUUCUGCAAGGUGGGAAGCCCGAGCUGGGUCUAGGGUCCCAUUGAGUUGGGUGGUCGUCUCCCUUGGUGUAACACCUUCCAUCCCACUGCCUUAGAAGAACCGGGUACAGCCUUGGAGGCCCCUCUUGCCAGGCCACCUUGACCUGGAAGCUUGGGUCAGCAGACCCAAGGCCAUGCUGGAAGCUGUACUGGUCACCCUGGUGGGUGGAGUCAUGUAGACAGCCACUGGAUCUCUGAAAGCUGCUGUGUGUUUGUGUGUGUGUGUGUGUGUGUGUGUGUGUGUGUGUGUGUGUGUGUGUGUCUGUGUGUGUGUCUGUGUGUGUCUGUGUGUCUGGGGUGAAGGCUGGGCUAGGGCAGGGAUGCAGCUGUUAGAAUACCCUGGUUUGGCAGCUAGGGGGCGAUGCUCUGCCCCUGAACCCCAACCCCAUUAUUAUGUUUCUUUGGCUCCUCCCCUAUAGUCCAGAUGUGGUUUGUGGAGGACUUCCUUAGGGUGUGGCUCAGACUCUCAAGUGAGCCUGCCCCCACAUCCACACACUCCCCACUUGGCCCCCUCCAUGACACCCUCCACCACCUGCCCUCUCUCCCUGCACCCCACCAUACCCUCAGGCAGGGCCUUCAGGGGCUGGCACAAAGCCGAGUGUGUCAGGGAAGUGCAGUGCAUGGAGGUUACAGUGGAGGAACCAGUUAAAGUCUGUUACCCCCAUCUACACACCACACCCUCACCUUCUGCACACCACUGAAUCCCUAGCAGCAGCCCUAGAGUGGCAUGUCUGUCCAGUCCUAGCCUAGAUGGUUGUCCUCCAUCUUGGAGCUUUG